ACAUUGUACUUUGGCAAAAAUCAAAUCCUUUUUUUUUAUGUAAAACACUAUCGUCGAAAUUAUAGAAUAAAUUACUUCGAACAACAGAUUUAACAAACACUGUAUAAUUUACUUUGUUUUUUACCAUUUUUUUGUAUAUUUCAGGGAAUAACUAAGAAAGAAUCGAAGAAAUGUCAAAUACUUAUAAAGCAAGAAGUUUAAAAUAGAGAUAAUGAAGUUAUCGUGAAUAAAACAAUUGAUAAACAACAAUAUGGUUCAUUACAUCUUUUAAUAUCAUGUAAAACACUUAAAUUGUUUGAAAUCAAAAUAUUUAAUCAACAGAAAUACAUGUAGGUAAUCAAUGAGUUAUUAUAUUCAAAAAGGAACAUUUUUUGGCAUAUUUGAUUGAUUUUUUAUAUUUAAGCUGAAAUCGGAUCGUUUUUAAUGACUACAUAAGUUAAAAUCUUUCACAUAAACUGAUUGAUUCAAAUAAAAUAGACACUUAAGUGUUUAAAAAGUGGUCAAAAUCUUUCGUCAGAUGAACCUGAAAUUUGAGGCCAAAAUCGGUCCUUACCGGUCCUACUCCUUUGACCUCAUUUCCACAGACUGCCACACUUCACAUAAUAUCACAAAGAUAUGUGCACAGUUAAAAUCUUACAAAACCUUGUCGUAGAAAAAGAAAAUUUACUAGAACAGGUGUCUUUAUUUAAUUUAUUUUUGAGAUCUUCAUUUCUAUUUUAAAGAUUUAAACAUACCAGAACACUUUGAGUUAACAUGGCAUCGCACGCCAUGUGUUAACUAUGUAGACGUAUUAUUACUUGGAUACGUGUCUAAAGAUACGGAAUGAAUACAGAUCAUGCAGAUAGAUUUAACAGAGUAUAAAUAAAAAGUAGGUAUAAUAAGUCAAUCUGUAGUUUUAUAUGCAUAUCACCUGUUAUACACAUGAUAGUGAAAUGGGUAUGCACAGUGCUGUACAACAUCUUACUGUUAACGAGUACAAACGCACUGUUAUUCGUGUCUCUGUUUUUGAUCAAUGUUCUUUGGUCAAUGUUUUGUCGAUAGGAUAUUUAUAAUUUUCUUAUUUUAAGUAUUCACAUGCGAUCAUCAUGUUCCAUUAAUACAGUAAGAUACUGCUAUUUAAUGAUAUAUUUGUUAAUACCAUUGGAAUACCGUUGUAACUGCAACCUUAUAUAAUUCAUGAAUGAUGAAUCGUUAGGAAAAAACGAAAACUGAAACAUGUGAAACACUCGAGUUAAAAUCCUAUCAAAUCGUUUUAAAUGAAAAGGGUUGAGUAAUUUUAUUCAUAUCAUACAAAUAAUUAGUUGGACAGUUAUUGUUUGCGUUGUUUCCUGUAAGUAGUUUUACUUCAGCGACUGAUUUUUGUUCAUUGAUAAUAAUGAAAUGCUAAUUAUUAUCCAAAAUUCAUCUUUACCUUUUGAGGUCAAAAAUUUGCUAACACGAAUAUUAUAAAGCAUCGACGUGCAAAUAAUAGCAGUAUAUUUAAACCUAAUAAAUCAACAAAAUAUAUUCUUCAUACAUGGAUAAAUGUAGAAUUUAUAUAAUGAUAAGAUGAAUGUUUUUAUUUAUCUUUGAAGAUUUUCUUCUAUUAAGAAAAAUUUAUUUUUAUUUUUAUUAUUUUCAGUUCUUUUACAUUAUUUGUUUUAUAGGAUUCUGAUUGGUUUGUGCUGUAUUGAAACAUUCAAAAUGAAACCAGCUACAAAUGAAUUUUACAUAUAUUCGCUUAUUACAACACAACACGAGAGUGCUGUCCUAAAUAUGUAUUUACAAUGUUUGUCAUUUGAUGUAAAGCGA
rnacentral:lncRNA from 1 species